CGCAUAGUCAGCUAUAAAAGGCCCCGAUAUGACAAUGUAAAACAAUUCAAACGAGAAAACUAACGGCCUUAUUUAUAUAAAAAAAAAAUGAACGAAAAACAAAUAUGUAACACAUAAACAAACGACAACCACUGAAUUACAGGCUCCUGACUUGGGACAGGCACAUACAUAAAUAAUGUGGCGGGGUUAAACAUGUUAGCGGUAUCCCAACCCUCCCCCUAACCUGGGUCAGUGGUAUAACAGUACAAC
rnacentral:lncRNA from 1 species